CNACAAGUCUUUGCAAUUUUUGGCAAUUUCCNNGAUAGAAAAGAUNGUGGGUAAUCUCGAAAUGUUUGUCGNGAUGGGGCUAGAUCUUUGCAAUUUUGGAUCUCCAAGGAGGAAUUCGUAGUAAACGCAAGUCAUCAGCUUGCAUUGAUAACGUCCCUGCCCUUUGUACACACCGCCUGUCGCACNUACCGAUUGAGCGAUCCGGUGAAAUCUAUGGAGUGAUCUUUUUGUUGCUCAUUCAACUUUUGGAUCGCAAAAUUGAGUAAACCUUAUCGUUUAGAGGAAGGUGAAGUCGUAACAAGGUUUCCGUAGGUGACACCUGCAGAAGGAUCAA
rnacentral:rRNA from 1 species